CUCGACAAUAUAAAUUGACAACGCAUAGAAAUUAUAUUAACGUCACUCUCAUAGGAAACUCCGCUUCCAAACAAUAACCAUUAAGAUUAACAAUAAUUUAUUAGAUAAUAAUUUACCAUAAUAAUUUACAUAAUAUAUUAUAUUACUAAUAAAAACAUAAAUCGUUCUCAUUCUUUUCAGGCGACACGAACGCAACGAACGAAUUAUUCGUAGUUACGUGUGAAAUUAAUCGCAAGAAGUCAUACGGUUGUGCAUUUUUAAUCAAAGAAAACCACCACGGCUACUCGCAGGUCGCGAUCAUCUCAUUGAACUCUGCACAUUUUAAUUUCUAAACAACCAGUUCGCAGAAAACGAGAAAUACCGACGGAAUAUGAGUGACGAUCCAACAAAUAUGGCACUCAAUACAAAUUAUGAAAACGCAUUGAGCUUGGCAAAUCAUGAUUUUUCGUUUUCUUUGUACAAGGAAUUGGCCAAAACUGAAAACGGAAAUAUUUUCUUUUCUCCAUUCAGUAUUCAUGUGAUUAUGUUUAUGGCUAGCAUGGGAGCAGCUUCAAAAACCUUUGACGAAAUGAUAAACACUAUACAUUUAAAUGAAACUACUCAUUCAAUGGAAGGAUAUAGAACGUUAUUGGAAGACUUACUAAGUAACAAUGAAAAUUUGAAAAUGGCAACCGGAAUGUUUGUUGAUGAAACUUUCAACGUUAAAAAAAGUUUUGUGGAAAACUCUAUGAAAUAUUUAAAAUCUUCUAUGGAAAAAAAGAAUUUCAAGGAUGAUCCAGAAAAACAGCGCAAAUAUUUAAAUGAUUGGGUUUUAAGCAAAACCAAUAACAAAAUUAAAGAUUUAUUUCCUAAAGAUUCCAUUACUAAAGACACUGCCUUAGUAUUGGCAAAUGCUGUGCAUUUUCAAAGUUCUUGGGUAUAUAAAUUUAAAGAUGCUGAAGACGACUCAUUUUAUAUUACUCCGAGCAACAAAGUACCAGUCAAAAUGAUGACUCUCGUACAUGAUUUGCAAUACUAUCAUGAUAGUGAUCUAAAAUUCGCCGCACUUGAAUUACCCUAUGAACACUAUGCUUUUAAAAUGAUUAUUUUAUUGCCCGAUGCUAAAGAUGGUUUGAAAGAACUGGAAAAUAACUUAUCAAAAAUUAAUUUGAAUGAUAUUUCAAAUAAAAUGUCCCAGUAUCAUGUUACUGUCAAAUUGCCUCGUUUCAAAUUAGAACAGUCACUGCAAUUAGAAGAUACAUUAUCCAACCUUGGAUGUCCAACAAUGUUUACACAAGCGGCAAACUUUUCUAACAUUGUUGAACAUGGUGAUCUGCAUGUGAGUAAAGUGUUGCAUAAGGCAUAUGUCGAUGUCAAUGAAAAAGGAACUGAGGCUGCAGCAGCUACAGCAGUCAUUAUGGUGAUGUACAGUGCCAGAUAUCCGAUCGAACCGCUGAAAAAAGUUGAGUUCCACGCCGAUCGUCCCUUCGUCGUCGCGGUAGCGUCACGCAACAACGACGUCUUGUUUAUGGGCCGCCUGUCGAACCCGUGAACGACGUUACAUUAUUAUAUAACAUGUAUAUAGGUUCGCCUACCCGCUGUAGAUAUGUAUAAUAUAUUGAAGGAAUUUCUAACACGAUUUCUAAACAAUUAAUAUUUUGGAGUUGUCGCAUAUACGGACGGCAGUAUUAUGGAAUGCAAUUCGCGUUAUUGAGUGCGUGGAUACCGGAACCGCCGUCAAACGUUGAUUUCCACGCCGAUCAUCCGUUCUUCAUGGCGAUACUCUCUCGUAACGACGACGUUUUGUUUCUGGGCCGUCUGUCAAAACCAU
rnacentral:misc_RNA from 1 species